rnacentral:lncRNA from 1 species
AUUAGUUCAUCUCCAACUACAAUUCUGAGUACUUUUGUAAAAUAGCAGCUAAUCUUUAAGUGUAGGAGAAUAUAGGAGACAAUAAAAGUAGAACUGAGUAAAAUAUGCUGAAAAGGUCCUAAAAAUGUCUUCUUUGCUUGACUAUUGAGUUGUAAUAUGUAGUGGUGUUUUGUAAGGUAAUCCCCUUGGAUUUUAUUUCUACUCUAAUUCUGUACUAUAAACUCAGAUUUCAUUUCUAAGAACAAAUUUUAAAUUAACUCCACAUACAGGGUGGUGAGAUUUCUGAAGAAUGCUGUCAAAAUCCCUUGGAAGACAAAGAUUUUUGGUUUUGUUUCAUUUUUAACACACACUGUCCCACACACAUUUUGUUUGCAGCACAAAUGAAAAGACCCUGAUUCAAAAUCAAAAUUCAAAAAAAAAACAAAAAAAAAAAAUAAAAAAAAAUAAAAAAAUAAAUAAAAAAAAAAACCAAAAUCAAAAUUCAGAAUCAAAAUGGUAAUUCUCUUUCAGAGAAAUGGUAACAUCAGUAGUAGACAAACUUUUAUUCGCUUUUUAAGAAUUUCUCACAGUUUUUUUGUUUCCUCCUGAUAUAUUGCUUCAUAUUUAAUUUACUCCUCAGUAAAUUAGCAUAGGAAAUAUAUACAGAAAAUAGACUUAACUUUUGGCUGCCAUUUAAGAACUAUGCAACCUUUAUAUGGGCCUAAAUUUUCUUAUGUGCCUUACAAAGCCAUCUGAAGCUAAUCUGUGACGAUGUAAUUGUCAGCACUGAAUCACCAGCUCCUACCUAGUACAUACACUUUUGAAUAAAUAAGAGAUGUAAUCAACACAAAAAUGAAGGCAACGUUGGCAUUGACAAUAUUGUCAUUAAUUAAUGAAAAUAAUUUUAAAAUAUUACAUAUUAUGACACCUAGCACACCACAUCCAUUUACUAAUAUAAUAACUAAAGAAUAGAAGAUACACUAUGUUUACAAAAUAGAAGUUAAAAUCAUUUUACCAUUCUGUCCAGUGGCAAAACAGUCCCAGAGGAUUCAAGAAAUUUAAAUUGUGACAUACUAAAAAAAUGAAAAUUAAAAAAAUUUUAAAAAUUAAAAAAAAUAAAUUGUGACAUACUGUUAGGAAUUUUUGACUUGUGAUUACAAAUAUUUCUAACAGAAAAAAGCGUUUAAAGGUUAUACUCUAUAUAAAGAAACCACCAAAUGUCUUAGGAUUAUAAAAAUAAAUAAGUAAAUGGUGGUAAAUACUCAAGUUUUGAGAUACUGUAUCAACAUUAUUAGAUAAUUGGGUAACUCUUCAAGACAUUUAAAUGAAAAUAAGUAAGUGUGUC